UAGGGAAUCUUCCACAAUGGACGAAAGUCUGAUAGAGCAACGCCGCGUGAGUGAAGAAGGGUUUCGGCUCGUAAAACUCUGUUGUUAAAGAAGAACAUAUCUGAGAGUAACUGUUCAGGUAUUGACGGUAUUUAACCAGAAAGCCACGGCUAACUACGUGCCAC
rnacentral:rRNA from 1 species